UACGUAGGGUGCGAGCGUUGUCCGGAAUUAUUGGGCGUAAAGAGCUCGUAGGCGGUCUGUCGCGUCUGCUGUGAAAUCCCGAGGCUCAACCUCGGGCCUGCAGUGGGUACGGGCAGACUAGAGUGCGGUAGGGGAGAUUGGAAUUCCUGGUGUAGCGGUGGAAUGCGCAGAUAUCAGGAGGAACACCAGUAGCGAAGGCGGCACUCUGGGCCGGUACUGACGCUGAGGAGCGAAAGCGUGGGGAGCGAACAGG
rnacentral:rRNA from 1 species